UGAGUCUCACCACAGAAAUGAUGGAUGUCAGAGCAAGAGGAGCUUGUGGAAUUGGAAGCUGUUCAAGCAACAACUAGAAUGAUUUUUAUUUUUGAAAGUUUGAAAUGUCUUAAAGAUUUGAAAGUCUAUUAUGUGCAACACACUAUGGAAGGUAGAAGAGAUGUAAACCAUUAGUCUUUCAUGCAAAGAGCUGAUUGUUAAGCUAGGGAGAUGGUUAACAGAAAAGGCCCAGAAUACAUAACAUCAGCAAACGCCCCAGUAUGCAGAUUAAGUAGGGUGGUAAGGAUUCGAGCAAGAUUCACUGUUAGCUCUUUUUAUGUUUCCUCCACAAUACCCUGUGUAUCCAUGAGGAUGAGUAAACAUUGCUGAGUGCUGCGCUUAGUCACUUAGUUGUGUUUGGCUUCUUGUGACCCUAUGGACUGUAGCCUGCCAGGCUCCUCUGUCCAUGGGAUNNNNNNNNNNNNNNNNNNNNNNNNNNNNNNNNNNNNNNNNNNCAGGGGAUCUUCCCAACCCAGGGAUUGAACCCAGGUCUUCUUCAUUGCAGGCUGGGCUGAAAGAGGUGGGCCUUGUUUUGAAAAGCCUAUAGCUUGAUGGUGAAGUGAAACUUUGAUCCCUGAAUACUUUUUCCCAGUGAUGUUUUAUAGUGUUAGAAAUGUGUUUUUUGGAAGAAAGUAAUGUUUACUCCAAGUCAAAAAUCACGUCUUGAACUGCAGUCAGUUUCUAAAAAAAGUACUAUGCGUAAAUGCCAAAACAGAGAAGGGGUAUUUUAGAGUACAAAGUAUUACUCAGAAUAAGCUAAGAAGCACAAAUAUUUUCUUUUCAAGGCAACUCCCACACCCAAGGCAGGACAGUGUGGUGGCUAAGAACACAAACUUUGGAGCCAGACUGCCUGGUUUCCACCCCUGUUCUACUUCCAGAGUGAGUAGCCUUGGCUAAGAACUUAACUUCUCAAUGCUUGUUUUCUUUUCCUUCCUCCUUCUUUAUUUCUUUCUUUUAAUAUGAGGGCUUACUAAAAAGUGCUUACCUCACUGCAUUCAUAGGAGUUUUAAUGAGCUUCUUUAUGGGAAGCUGUGAGAACACUUAGGGUAUCCCUUUUUAUUUACUUAUUGCUAUAAAACAUAUC
rnacentral:lncRNA from 1 species